AGGACGAACGCUGGCGGCGUGCUUAACACAUGCAAGUCGAGCGGAAAGGCCCUUCGGGGUACUCGAGCGGCGAACGGGUGAGUAACACGUGGGCAACCUGCCCCUAGCUCUGGGAUAACUCCGGGAAACCGGGGCUAAUACCGGAUACGAUCUUCCACGGCAUCUCGGAAGAUGGAAAGUUUUUCGGCUAGGGAUGGGCCCGCGGCCUAUCAGCUUGUUGGUGAGGUAACGGCCCACCAAGGCGACGACGGGUAG
rnacentral:rRNA from 1 species